GACAUCCCUUCUUCUUCUUCUUUUAAUUCUCAUGCAGACUUUAUGAAUAUAACGCACUUUGAGGUUGGUGGAGCACUGUGGCCAAAUGUGUUUGUAAACAAAGUGCGAUCCGCAAAAAUAAUCCAUCUUGGGAUGGUCUCAACACAGUACUGAGACAACCAGCUUUAUGAACUCUACAAAAAUUUGAAUGCACAACUGCACAAAUUUGGGCUAAAUAUUGAAAAACACUACAAGGGUUUCAGCCUGUUUGACAUUUUGAGGUAAACUGUUCCUAAGAUGCACAGUGGCGUUCUUGAAGGAGCUGGAACCAUAGCAAGUGCUACAGAUACAUGGGGCUGAUAUAUAUUUGGCAAAGUAUUUAAAAAAAACUACAAGGGGUAAGUCAAGCAUUUUUUACGUUUUAUUUGUUCUAUUGACAAAACUACAAACUACAGCAUUUUCAUAAAGUUCCCUUCAGCAUUUAAAAAAUAAAUUUGCCAAAUAUUGAAGAAAAACUACGAGGGCAUAAGCCUACAGUUCAGUAUUCUUGUGCUGAUAUACUGAUUCUUGACAAAUGUACAAGGCUAUCCUUGUACAAUUAUCAAAUUUUGCUUGAAAAUGUACAGCCUUGUACAUUUAUCAAAUUUUGCUGAAAGAUGUACAAAGUUAAAGUCUUGUUAUCCAAUUUUGCAGAAAAAUGUACAAAAAUUGAUAAAUGCACAAGGCUGUAUAUAGCCUAGUGCAUUUAUCAAAUU